AGUCAAUAGAUACCCGGGUAGUCCCAGCGGUAAACGGUGCGCGUUUGGUGUGAGGUGGUUCGACCCUCCUCGCGCCGGAGCUAAACGCGUUAAAAACGCGCCGCCUGGGAAGUACGAUCGCAAGACUAAAACUCAAAGAAAUUGACGGGGCCCGCACAAGCGGUGGAGUAUGUGGCUUAAUUCGAUGCAACGCGAAGAACCUUACCUGGGUUUGACAUGCAUCUCUAAGGAGGUGAAAGCUUCCGAGGGUAGCAAUACCCGAUUUGCACAGGUGCUGCAUGGCUGUCGUCAGCUCGUGUCGUGAGAUGUUGGGUUAAGUCCCGCAACGAGCGCAACCCUUGUAUGCUGUUGCUAUGAUUACUCAUAGCUCUCUGCGUAGACUGCCCCGUGAAACGGGGUAGGAAGGUGGGAUGACGUCAAGUCAGCAUGGCCCUUACACCCAGGGCUGCACA
rnacentral:rRNA from 1 species